rnacentral:tRNA from 1 species
GAUCCCGUAGCUCAGCCGGUAGAGCAUCUGACUUUUAAUCAGAGGGUCACGCGUUCGAAUCGCGUCGGGGUCA